GACGAACGCUGGCGGCGUGCUUAACACAUGCAAGUCGAACGGAAAGGCCCUGCUUUUGUGGGGUGCUCGAGUGGCGAACGGGUGAGUAACACGUGAGUAACCUGCCCUUGACUUUGGGAUAACUUCAGGAAACUGGGGCUAAUACCGGAUAGGAGCUCCUGCUGCAUGGUGGGGGUUGGAAAGGUUCGGCGGUUGGGGAUGGACUCGCGGCUUAUCAGCUUGUUGGUGGGGUAGUUGCUUACCAAGGCUUUGACGGGUAGCCGGCCUGAGAGGGUGACCGGCCACAUUGGGACUGAGAUACGGACCAGACUCCUACGGGAGGCAGCAGUGGGGAAUAUUGCACAAUGGGCGGAAGCCUGAUGCAGCAACGCCGCGUGCGGGAUGACGGCCUUCGGGUUGUAAACCGCUUUCGCCUGUGACGAAGCGGGAGUGACGGUAAUGGGUAAAGAAGCACCGGCUAACUACGUG
rnacentral:rRNA from 1 species